CAGCUUGUCACAUUAUCUUAAGACAUUGGAAGGCAUCAGAAAUUCCACAGGUGAAAGAAUGGGUGUGUGCAAUGACUGAAACUGCAUCCUAUGAAUGUAUGCUUAGUAGAAUGAUUGAUGACAGGGAGGAGGGGGUGACCCUUUGGGACAGGUUUUGGAAUUACAUAAAGGUAAAUAA